AGCGAACGCUGGCGGCAGGCCUAACACAUGCAAGUCGAACGAACCUUUCGGGGUUAGUGGCGGACGGGUGAGUAACACGUGGGAACGUGCCUUUAAGUUCGGAAUAACUCAGGGAAACUUGUGCUAAUACCGAAUGAGCCCUUCGGGGGAAAGAUUUAUCGCCUUUAGAGCGGCCCGCGUCUGAUUAGCUAGUUGGUUGAGGUAAUGGCUCACCAAGGCGACGAUCAGUAGCUGGUCUGAGAGGAUGAUCAGCCACAUUGGGACUGAGACACGGCCCAAACUCCUACGGGAGGCAGCAGUGGGGAAUCUUGCGCAAUGGGCGAAAGCCUGACGCAGCCAUGCCGCGUGAAUGAUGAAGGUCUUAGGAUUGUAAAAUUCUUUCACCGGGGACGAUAAUGACGGUACCCGGAGAAGAAGCCCCGGCUAACUUCGUG
rnacentral:rRNA from 1 species